GACGAACGCUGGCGGCGUGCCUAAUACAUGCAAGUUGAGCGCUGAAGGUUGGUACUUGUACCAACUGGAUGAGCAGCGAACGGGUGAGUAACGCGUGGGGAAUCUGCCUUUGAGCGGGGGACAACAUUUGGAAACGAAUGCUAAUACAGCAUAAAAACUUUAAACACAAGUUUUAAGUUUGAAAGAUGCAAUUGCAUCACUCAAAGAUGAUCCCGCGUUGUAUUAGCUAGUUGGUGAGGUAAAGGCUCACCAAGGCGAUGAUACAUAGCCGACCUGAGAGGGUGAUCGGCCACAUUGGGACUGAGACACGGCCCAAACUCCUACGGGAGGCAGCAGUAGGGAAUCUUCGGCAAUGGACGAAAGUCUGACCGAGCAACGCCGCGUGAGUGAAGAAGGUUUUCGGAUCGUAAAACUCUGUUGGUAGAGAAGAACGUUGGUGAGAGUGGAAAGCUCAUCAAGUGACGGUAACUACCCAGAAAGGGACGGCUAACUACGUG
rnacentral:rRNA from 1 species